rnacentral:snoRNA from 14 species
GUGCAAUGACUGACUUGGAUAAGUUUCGGCUGAAACGUCACACUUGAUGCCAACUUUUAAGAAUUUGCUGAGCAC